GAAUUUGUUAUUCCCGCGCCUCGUGGGUCUUGUGGUUGUUUCGAUAUCUGUGGUGGUUUCUGUCUGUGGUCCGAUUGUGGUGGGCCUCGUACGACGCGGGAAUGGACGGCGUUCCUUAACACUCUGUUGACAAACAUGAAGUCGGACUAUGGCAUCCUUGCUUACAAGAACGAGAUUGUUAAAUCAACAGCUUGGAUUACUUUCUUUUCAUUGUGGAUUUUGCUGAAUCAUAUAACAGAUAAAGACGUCAAGAUUUAAAUUGUAUAAUAAACUGAGAAUACA